rnacentral:snRNA from 1 species
AGCUUUGCACAGUGGCAGUAUCAUAGCCAGUGAGGUUUAUCCAAGGCACGAUUAUUGCUAAUUGAAAACUUUCCCCAAUAUCCCGCCAUGAUGACUUGAAAUGUAGUCGGCAUUGGCAAUUUUUGGCAGUCCCUAUGGGGA